CAUUUUCCUUGGCAGGGAGUUGAGGGAAUGUUUCCAGCUAGGUUAUGAUAUCUUCAUCGUGCACUGUUAUCAAGGCUUGCAUUUCCUGGUGUCAAGCCACAGAGCUGGAGAUACGCUGCUCUUUCUGCACCAGGGCUAUCCAGAGUUGUAUGCUACGUAUGUGCUGCUCCACAAAGCCCUUUGUUAUUGCUGCAGUCUUCUCCACUGGCUUUCAAAAUAUUCUCCAAACAGAGCAGUUUGGUGUGAAUGCAUUCUCCUUUGCUAGAAGAUUGAUUAUCAAGAAAUCAUGCCUGAAAGAUUUUUAAUUUACCUUCGACAUCUAGAGGGAACUGAUGUUCAGACAUGCAAUAUGAUGAAGUACAGUCUAGUUUACAUCAGAAAACUGUUAAUCUUGCCAACUGGACCCCUAAUUAGAAAGAAGCAAAGCAUUUGCGGUGAGCGACAGAUUAACUGAGAAAUUCAGAUCAGAAUUAUUCAGAAUCCUGAGUCAAAUUCAGUCAAUAACUGAGCAGAAUUAAAAAGAUCUUGAAACGCAAGCAUAUAGAAUAUACUUUGAUGCUUAAUUGCUUAUUUCUACAGGCUUUUUAAAUUAUUUAACCUUUAGGAAAUUGAAUCAAACCAUUAUAAAAAUGGAACUCUUAGUUAUUUUGUCUCUGGUUUUGUUAAGAAAUAAAUGUUUGCUU
ensembl:lncRNA